GUGGGGAAUAUUGGGCAAUGGGCGAAAGCCUGACCCAGCAACGCCGCGUGAGGGAAGAAGGUUUUCGGAUUGUAAACCUCUGUCCUUGGUGACGAACACAAUGACGGUAGCCAAGGAGGAAGCCCCGGCUAACUACGUGCCAGCAGCCGCGGUAAUACGUAGGGGGCAAGCGUUGUCCGGAAUGACUGGGCGUAAAGGGCGUGUAGGCGGCCGAUUAAGUCUGGAGUGAAAGUCCUGCUUUCAAGGUGGGAAUUGCUUUGGAGACUGGUUGGCUUGAGUGCUGAAGAGGCAAGUGGAAUUCCCAGUGUAGCGGUGAAAUGCGUAGAGAUUGGGAGGAACACCAGUGGCGAAGGCGACUUGCUGGGCCGUAACUGACGCUGAGGCGCGAAAGCGUGGGGAGCGAACAGGAUUAGAAACCCUAGUAGUCC
rnacentral:rRNA from 1 species